UAAUGAAUAAAAUGUUAUAAAAUGUAUGUUGAUUGUUUUUUGAGGUAAAUUCCAUGAUGCAUCUGAAAGUGUUUUUGAGUAGAGAGUGUUUUGCAUAUGAACUGAACACUCGCUUAAAACUCCACUGAUGAUUAUUAGUGUUUGACACUGACACACACACACACACUGAAAAUUCUUCAUGAUAACAGAUCCAAAAGCAAACAUGACUUUAAUAGCCAUCAUUAUUUGGACACUUGCAACCUGCAUCUGGGGUUCUAUGGGGCAGAUUCUGACUCAUUCUGAAGCUCAAACAGUUCAGCCUGAUCAGACUGUCACUAUUCACUGUAAUCAUAAACCAGCAAUAGACUGUGCUCAAAAAAAUACCACUAAGUAUUGUAUGGCGUGGUACCAUCAGAUUCCUGGAGAAGUUCCUAAACUCCUGAUCUAUUACACAUCAGACAGAGCUUCAGGUGUUUCUUCUAGAUUCAGUGGCAGUGAAAGUGGAAACCACAUGGAUUUUACUCUGACUAUCAGUGGAGUCCAGCCUGAAGAUUCAGGAGUUUAUUACUGUCAGAGCAGACAUUUUUUGACCACCACAAACUCAGUGUUCACACAGUGUAAAAGCAUCAUAUAAAAACCUCCUUGGCUGAUACUUCAGCGCUGCUGCUUUGAGCUUCUGCAGAUGUUGAUGUUGAUGAUCAUUAUUCACACACUCCUCAACACAUUCUACAUAUUUUAUAAAUAACAUCAUGUCUCAAACAUGAAUUACACAUGAAUUACAAAUUACAAUAAAAUACAUCCAAGAUGAAAAUGAAAGAAAGCUUACUGUGGCCAAAGCUUAUGUGAUGAAAAUGAAGAUUUCACAUCAGUCCAUCAUGAAAUACCAAUAUUCACUAAAAUAAAAUUAUUAGUGGAUUGACUGGGAAACUGUUUAUAUACAUUUAAUGUAUGUAUAAUUUUACAGACCUGUUUAGAGGAUCAGUGAUCUUUUGCAAGCAAGGUAAAAAAUAAAGAGAGAGAGAGAGAG